UGUUUUACUCUUCCACGUGCUCUCAAGCUUUCACCUCAUACUCAAGACCAGCUGAGCAGUCCUAAAAAGAAAGAUAUAUCCUGGCACAAACCUGAAGCCUUAUUGGCGGCGGCGGUUUCCGAGAGGCGGAGGAGGGAAGGAGGGAGGGAGGGCCGGGAGAGGUGAGGAAUGCUGGACUGAAGUGAAGUAGAUGACUUUAUUCUUUUCCAGAUUCCU